AUACGGGUUCGCUCGUCGUCGUAUGUGAAUGUAUAUGAUAUGGUAAUAGAAAAUUUUCCGCUCAAUAAAAUUAGUUCAAAGUCAAAUCAAGCGGGAAUCGUUCCGAUUCGCGAACGAGUUACACAAGUGAGUAGAUAACUGGGAAAUAUGGACCUUUUGAACUCCACGUCGGAGGACGAAGGAUGGACUGCCAUUAUGUUUGGUGAGCCCAUUGACAGCAGUAGAUUGCUCAGCGUAUUAUCAAUAUGUUAUGGGAACACUAAACUAGAGGUGUCUAUCGUGAGAUGUACAGGAGUAACAGCACUUAAAGAUCGGAAAGUCAUCAAAGCAAUAUUUUAAACAUAGCAUGUAUAGUAUUUCGGUUCGACUCUCCUUUUUGUAAUAACUCUGUACCCAAACGCAUACUCAUCAAUGCUUUUCUGUGCCGCUGGAAAUGUUGAUUCGCCAUCGCCCGUCUCAAAAGCGGAAGCCAUCUACGGGAGACAUGUCCUCCCCCAUUCCAGAGGAACUUUGUGUCGUCUCGUGUGUAUCACUCACUCGAUUCGAAACUGGAGGGGCUAGAGUAGAUGACUAGGGUGAACAUGCUAACCAUUGAAUGCAUGCGUUAAGUUCGCUUCGAGUUGUUUGCGAUGUUUAAAAAUCACGAAACGGCGGAAAUUGUGUUAUCGGAUUACAUAUGUUUUAGGACUGAAGAUUCAAUUGAGGACAUAUACACG